rnacentral:other from 1 species
AAAAUCCUGGAGUGUUCGACACCCCCAUUUAUUUUGAACCUACAUUACUUUAAACGGGAUUCCUACAUUGCUGUAUCUAAUGUCAAGCCGUCAUUGCGCAGCGGAAGACAGCGGAGCAGCUGCGGUUGCCCACCUGGCGUCAGCUAGGAGUCAGAAAAUGGGAAACGGCACCCUGGGAUUUUC